UGGCCGUAAACGAUGUGGACUUGGUGUUGGAAUGGCUUCGAGUUGUUCCAGUGCCGAAGGGAAGCUGUUAAGUCCACCGCCUGGGAAGUACGGUCGCAAGACUGAAACUUAAAGGAAUUGGCGGGGGAGCAUCACAACGCGUGGAGCCUGCGGUUUAAUUGGACUCAACGCCGGGAAGCUCACCGGAUAAGACAGCGGAAUGAUUGCCGGGCUGAAGACUCUGCAUGACUAGCUGAGAGGUGGUGCAUGGCGUAGACGUCU
rnacentral:rRNA from 1 species